GUUGGAGGAAAACGUCAGGUAGUAGAAAAUAAGAAAAAACAAAAUGAAAACUUAAAAAAAUUGGAUAUAUCUAGAUUGUGGAAGGAGACCAAAGUUGCACCGAUGGAAUUUGAUUUUUGAGAUUAGGAAAGUGAGCUUCCUCUUUAGAUCGUCGCCGGUCAGAGCUACUCCGUCAUCUAUUAGCUCAUGUGUGCUUUUCCAUCUCACUAUUGCUUAGAGGUUGUUUAAUGGAAGAAAUAUUUCCUGCAAGUAUAUUGUUGGCAAAGAUAAUUGAUUUAUAUGAAAUACUUAAGGUUAAUUCAGAUGGUGACAUAAUUGCUAUUUGGUACUUGAGAAGCUGAC